GCUUCGGAGGCUCGUACUUGGCAGCGCCGUGGGAGUUUGUUUUCCUUCGUGUUGUGCAAACAAACAAGAAUUCAAGACGGAACCUUCGUUUUCACCGUUUUGCAAGAGCUCAUGAAAAAGAUCCCUAGAAUGGUGGAAGAUUGUCGACAGGCCGGAUUUGCUUACGAAUACUUGCCAGCAACUUGAUAACAUCUUCAAGUUAUUUUUAAAACAUUUUGAGUUCGGGAUGCAAAUGAAUCCCACAUUUCCACACCUGACACAUUUAGCUGUCCCAAACAUACCCGAUCAAGUCAUGCAAGGUGCAGCUGCCUUUAUGUCGAGUGUUGUCGCUACAGCCACUGGCGCCACCAUCGCCACCUUCACACAUAUGAUGUCGGUUCCAACUAUUCUUGAGUUGAAUAUUGCAACGACUCCAUAUGAUCACACCUACGUGCUUGGAUCCUGAACAGAGUAGAAAUAUCAACCAGCAAAUGCAGAGCAAAGGAGAUGGUGCAUUUGCGCUCCAGGAGUAAGCGACAAUGGCAGUUAAUUUGCAAGUAAAAGCAAAGGGUAAAACGACAAGAAACAAUUCGCCGGUAAGCACACUGAGAGUACGACCGACAGAAAUUAGCACAUUUUUGAGAGAUUGAAAGAAAACAUAAAGAUGCCAGACGAGAGUAACCAGGUGUGUUUAUGGCUCAGUGUAAUAUCCAUUUAAAGAAGUAUUCUUUGAUUAUCAAAAGGAGAAUAGUAUUGUUGUCAAAGAUUAUGGACUUCAUGGACAUUCUUGAGCACCUGUUGCACAAGCGCUUUCAUUUAUGGUACAGAGCAUAAAAAGUUGGUGGAAACAAGUGUUAGGUUACAUGUCCAAAAAUGAAAUAAAAU